rnacentral:rRNA from 1 species
UACGUAGGUGGCAAGCGUUGUCCGGAUUUACUGGGCGUAAAGAGCGCGCAGGCGGUCGUUCAAGUCGCGUGUGAAAGCCCCUGGCUCAACUGGGGAGGGUCACGCGAUACUGAUCGACUCGAAGGCAGGAGAGGGUAGUGGAAUUCCCGGUGUAGUGGUGAAAUGCGUAGAUAUCGGGAGGAACACCAGUGGCGAAGGCGGCUGCCUGGGCCAGUUCUGACGCUGAGGCGCGAAAGCGUGGGGAGCAAACAGG